UAAAAUUAAAAGGACCUGUUACAACCCGUAUAAUAUAUGUUUUGAAUAAUAUCAUACAAGUGUUAUUGUUUGGUACUGACACAACAUAAGAGCUUAAUGGCAUCAUUAUAUGCAUGUGUCCAACUAAAAACAUCAAAGUGACAUGUUAUACAAUAUAGGCCACAAAAAAAUCUAAGAACUAUGUACAAUGUCUUCAUUCUACACCACUCCACAGCGGAAGAUCACAACAAACAGAAACCUUC
rnacentral:lncRNA from 1 species